rnacentral:rRNA from 1 species
CUACGGGACGCAGCAGUGAGGAAUAUUGCACAAUGGGGGGAACCCUGAUGCAGCAACGCCGCGUGGAGGAUGACGCAUUUCGGUGUGUAAACUCCUUUUAUAUGUCAAGAAAAUGACGGUAGCAUAUGAAUAAGCACCGGCUAACUCCGUGCCAGCAGCCGCGGUAAUACGGAGGGUGCAAGCGUUACUCGGAAUCACUGGGCGUAAAGGACGCGUAGGCGGGUUGGAAAGUCAGGUGUGAAAUCCUACAGCUUAACUGUAGAACUGCACUUGAAACUACGAGCCUAGAGUAUGGGAGGGGGAGAUGGAAUUAGUGGUGUAGGGGUAAAAUCCGUAGAUAUCACUAGGAAUACCUAAAGCGAAGGCGAUCUCCUGGAACAUAACUGACGCUAAGGCGUGAAAGCGUGGGGAGCAAACAGGAUUAGAUACCCUCGUAGUC